GAUGAACGCUGACAGAAUGCUUAACACAUGCAAGUCAACUUGAACUUCGGUUUGGGUGGCGGACGGGUGAGUAACGCGUACAGAACUUGCCUCACAGAUAGGGACAACAUUUGGAAACGAAUGCUAAUACCUGAUAUUAUGAUUUUAGGGCAUCCUAGGAUUAUGAAAGCUAUAUGCGCUGUGAGAGAGCUUUGCGUCCCAUUAGCUAGUUGGAGAGGUAACGGCUCACCAAGGCGAUGAUGGGUGGCCGGCCUGAGAGGGUGAUCGGCCACAAGGGGACUGAGACACGGCCCUUACUCCUACGGGAGGCAGCAGUGGGGAAUAUUGGACAAUGGACCAAGAGUCUGAUCCAGCAAUUCUGUGUGCACGAUGAAGUUUUUCGGAAUGUAAAGUGCUUUCAGUUGGGAAGAAAAAAAUGACGGUACCAACAGAAGAAGUGACGGCUAAAUACGUG
rnacentral:rRNA from 1 species